CUGGUGGACAAAAUAUGUUACAUGCCCUUUUUUCUGAAGAAAACAUUCUGUCUGAAUAAGAACACAGAAGUGAGUAACACUGGCUGGAAUAACAACAAUAUUCAGUGCAAAUUCCAAACAUCGGAAUCUGUUCACAGUAAACGGGUGCGCAGAACACUCAAGUUGACACUCCCAUGGCCUCACCUGAUGGUGAUAAUGUCCAAGCUCAUACAAACUCCACUUCUCCUCGGACCUUUCCGGACCUUGCCACUCCUGUCCAGAAUAGUUCCUGGGUAUCAGCGUUUACGGUGCCCUGGGAGAAGAUGCAGGCAAAUGUGAGAAGAUGUCUUUCACAGAAGAAGCGACCACAAGCUUCAGAUAGAAGGCACAUGGAAACCUCCACUCAGGCAGACGUGGAAGCCCGGCUCUCCCUGCCAAGCACUCCCAGGCUCAUCAUGCUUGGUAAGAUUCCAACACAAGACACAGAAACUAAAUGGGCAGGAGGUGCAUACAUUUCUAUACAUAGUCUCCUCACUCUGAGAGGCUUUCAGUAUUUGGACAAAAGCUGCUCCAUUGACUUAGUAUGGGCUUGUCCCUUUGUCAUUACCCUCUUGGUACUACAUGCAGUCAAAGGAACUCACAAUACAAGCGACAAUCCAUCAGAGAAGAACAGACAAAUAUCUAGUAGUGAUAGUUUGAUUCCAGUUUCUCGACUGCCCUGUCCGUUUUCUUCGCAUCGUUUUAUGUCCUCAACAUCGAAUACCCAGAGGAAGCAGCCACAUCUUUAGAAUUCAUCCUACGGUAUAAGGGGUUUUCACUUUAUCAAGUGGGAUGGGUAAGCCUGAAAAUUGCGCCCAAUGUGAUAAAAAUGUCAAAUUUGGCAGACACAUUGAUACAUUCUUGGAUGGAUUUCCAUAUCCAUAACAGAAUAAAGUCUUAAAACUGAUUAGAACCCCUUCAGAAAUAUGUAAAUCAGAAUUUAUGUCAUUGUACAAAUACAGUGAGACAAAGAGUGCAUCUGUGACAUCACAAGGGCCAGGCAUUCACACACACGUAUCCAAACACAUUACUGUCCACAUUCCAAAGGCAAGUUAAAGUGCUAUGUGCAUAGAAUACAAGGUAACUGUACUGCAGUGGUGGAUA